rnacentral:tRNA from 2 species
GCCCCCGUGGUGAAACUGGCAUACACGCGAGGUUUAGGACCUCGUGCCUAAAAAGCGUAGGGGUUCAAAUCCUCUCGGGGGCACUA